rnacentral:rRNA from 1 species
AGUGAACGCUGGCGGUAGGCCUAACACAUGCAAGUCGAACGGCAGCACAGUAAGAGCUUGCUCUUACGGGUGGCGAGUGGCGGACGGGUGAGGAAUACAUCGGAAUCUACUUUUUCGUGGGGGAUAACGUAGGGAAACUUACGCUAAUACCGCAUACGACCUACGGGUGAAAGCAGGGGAUCUUCGGACCUUGCGCGAUUGAAUGAGCCGAUGUCGGAUUAGCUAGUUGGCGGGGUAAAGGCCCACCAAGGCGACGAUCCGUAGCUGGUCUGAGAGGAUGAUCAGCCACACUGGAACUGAGAGACGGUCCAUACUCCUACGGGAGGCAGCAGUGGGGAAUAUUGGACAAUGGGCGCAAGCCUGAUCCAGCCAUACCGCGUGGGUGAAGAAGGCCUUCGGGUUGUAAAGCCCUUUUGUUGGGAAAGAAAAGCAGCAGGUUAAUACCCCGCUGUUCUGACGGUACCCAAAGAAUAAGCACCGGCUAACUUCGUG